rnacentral:rRNA from 1 species
AGUGAACGCUGGCGGUAGGCCUAACACAUGCAAGUCGAACGGCAGCACAGUAAUAGCUUGCUCUUACGGGUGGCGGGUGGCGGACGGGUGAGGAAUACAUCGGACUCUACUUUUUCGUGGGGGAUAACGUAGGUAAACUUACGCUAAUACCGCAUAUGACCUACGGGUGAAAGCAUGGGAUCUUCGGACCUUGCGCGAAUGAAUGAGCCGAUGUCGGAUUAGCUAGUUGGCGGGGUAAAGGCCCACCAAGGCGACGAUCCGUAGCUGGUCUGAGAGGAUGAUCAGCCACACUAGAGCUGAAACACGGUCAAGACUCCUAAGGGACGCAGCAGUGGGGAAUAUUGGACAGUGGGCGCAAGCCUGAUACAGCCAUACCGCGUGGGUGAAGAAGGCGUUCGGGUUGUGAAGCCCUUUUGUUGGGAAAGAAAAGCAGCAGGUUGAUACCAAGCUGUUCUGACGGUACCCAAAGAAUAAGCACCGGCUAACUUCGUG